UCGAUGCCAAGACGAAGGUAGGUGAAAGAGAAGACCCCUCGAACAAGAACGAGUCUCCAGAAGCGAUCGAGUCGAGCAGGAAGACGACUUUUUGAAUUUCGCCGAGCGAGCGCUGAUGACGUAAUGAGGGAUUAGCUUGCCAGUGGAAAUGCAUCUGCGCACAUACAUUUCACAUACUUUUUGGCCAAUUUUCAAUCGAAGAGGAGGUUGUUUUCUAUGUUCUCUCAACGUCGUGAGCGAUCCCGUCUUCUAUACCCUUCCAGGUACCCUGAAGGUCCUCCAGAGGAGAAUUUAUCUCCAGCGAAGCGUUGUUGAUCCGCUAAAUUCGUCUCGAGACAUAUUCACCCAGUGCAGUGCUGAUAAAUGUAGAAUGUUGAAUCUGUGAUAAUUGUUGACGAUGGAGAGAGAGGCUGAAAGCCGCUGUCGCAGGGAGAGUGAAGCUGCUGGAAGUAACAACGGGGAGCCCGUUUGUAUCACCUGAACAACCAGACUUCAAAGCAGCUUGACCAAAUCGGAGGGUGCCUCGGUGCUUAUCGUGAAUAUUACACCGACAUGAAUUACUACAAGUACACUGGUCUGUCCAAUAUGCAUUGACAGUAUUGGGUAUGGUAUCUGCUCUGAGAAGGGAAUCGCUGGAGCCACAGUCCAACUAGACAGGCUUUCAAGAAACAGAGAGGAUCCAUCUUUCCAAGCUGAUACCUGAUGUGUACCGACAGAAUUCUCACGAGAUACCUUACGGACAACGUGUGGUGUGUACUUCAUAGUACUCCUUCGACUACUAUCUAGAAUCAAGUCGACCGAAACGAGUCAAACAACUCUGGCUUCAAACGAGCCGUCGAUUAGACAAACAAAACAUUCUCUCAUAUACUGGAGCACUCUGACAACUCACGACCUAUUCCUAACGAUUUCCACCGCUUAUACAUAUGUAGAGUGCUGAUUGGAAUGUGCUCACAAUUUCAACAAUUCAGUGCUAUAAUUAUUUGAACAAUGUGUUAGAAAUUAUUCCACUUUUCCUUCCAUAAAUGUUGUAUCCACAUAUAAUCCACAGUGCUCCGAAGUUUCAGAGUUCUCAGGGUAUCAAACAAAAUUAUUUCGAAUACAGUGAAAUUGUUCGUGGACAUUAUAGCGUAACUAAUUUACGUGUAGUUCCCUGGUCCUUUUCUUUGCUAUAAAUUAAUCCUUUGCUCUCUAGCCGCCUGCGAGUCCAACAGUGAAAUUGUUAGUUCAUUUUUAUAAUGUGGGUAUGUGGGAGGGGGUUGAACAUAUUUUUUAUAUAAGGGACCUGCAACUGUAAUACCACAGUACAGUAGCCGGCAAAUAUGUAGAAAACAGAAAUGCAUGUUCCCAUCAUUGUACAUGGACGGGCACAGCAGGCUGAAGCUAUCAGCCAGAACAGGAUUUACAAUCACUUAGAGAUACUUGAGCUAUUCCAGUAUUCUCCGUGAGCUGUCCCAUUCCACAAUGGUUCAUGCCACCAUUAUUUCUGGUAGUAUCCAUGUGCAUAGUUCCAAGACCAUCUCGGAUUCUUCAGCAAUUUGUGCCACGGCAAAAGACAAUGCUUGACUCGGUCACUGGGGCUGUCAAACUUCCCAUCACAAAUGAACUUCAAUUUCUCAUCUGUUUCAAGUAUAUGUACUGCCAUGACUUGACCAUGCUUCAUCCACAGCUGGGCGAAGAUUGUGGCGUUGAA